AUUUUCUCGGACCUUAGGUUGUUGUGUAUUUGCAACAGUAAAAAAUGCAAUCUCAUCUUUGGUUUAGCGAAAUUGUCAAUUUACCUGAAAAUAAGGUGCAAUCCAUUAUUAUCUUACCUACAAAUGUCAAGUGCAAUAUGAAAAAGAGUAAACAUUAAAAAUCGAUAUCAGUUUUUGAUUUUCCUCAAAUAACAAGUACGUUUGGCCUUUUAAAAAUGGGUUCAGUACUUAGGCACAAGCUUGAUGGCUUUCAAGCUCAUUACCGCUAUCACUAGAAGGUCUGUAAGUUGGUGAGUGUGUCAUUUACCAGAUGUGAAGAUGCCAACUGAUGGAGAUGUUUGGGGAAUAGACAUGAAGUCUCUCAGGAACAAGGUUCCGUGGAUCAUAAGUCAGGAUGUAGCCAUUAAAGUAGCAUGACAUGAGCACAUCAUAGGAGAAAUACUUUUGAAGUUUCUAGGUUGCCUCUCUUCUUUGUCUAUCAUGUUGGACCUUUCAUCCAGAAAGUAAGGCACCCUCGCUGUUGACUUCCAAACUAAAUUCCUCCUAUUACUAAAACUGGGAGUAUUCCUAUUUUUAUUUUGGCCUAUUAACUUUUCAUCCGUGCUUUGAUUUUGCCUCAUGUAGCCAACUGGCGUCUUAACCGAUGUCGUGUCCAUAGGGCAUGAUUUCCGCAGUGAAUCUGGGUUGAUUUCGUUGUUUGUUUGUACACUGAUUUAAGGGAUUUUCCUUGACCCUUUUAUUGGCUAUAGAUGGCAGAACUCAUGGAUGGAGGAUUUUGUUUCUAUCAGCUCCUGAAAACUAAAAGGAUGGUUGAAAAUGAAGCCAACAACAGGGCUUAUAUACUGCAAUAUUUGUAGAUCAUUUAUGAUGCUCUAGAUAUUCGUUGUACUUACGCAGUUUCUAAUCUCCUAUUAAUGUUUGAUAUCGUGCAAUUUCAGGUACAACUUUUAGACAAAAUCAACGAGCAAUGUCUGCUAUCAUGGACACAAACUUGCUAAUAUUGAAGAAUUUAUGAGCUACAUUUUCUUCCUUAAAUGUCUUGAGUCAUGUACAAUAAUGUGUUUAUGCGGCUUAUGACUAUCUUUGCUAAUGAUGGCAGUGAUAAGAUGCAGAAGCAAUUAUCUCUAGAAGUUCUUGUGUACUGAGCUAUUGUUGUGACUAUCUUCUUUCUUUAAUUACAAUAUAUUUUGUGAUGUGCAGUUCCAGUUUGGUACAAAUUUUGGCACUUCAACUGUUGUAUAGACCUUUUCAGCCAAGCGAAUAUUUUGAAUAUAUGUGCACAUAAGGGCCUAAAAAAGAAAACUACUAGAGGAUUGGAGGUCAAAUAUGCAAGGGGAAGUUUCUUUCCAUACUGGGGAUCAAUGUUGGAACCCCAGUCUUCCGCGAAGAUGUCCUUCAUAAAACCGAUACUCAGUGUUGACCAGAUCAAUCAUGAUAGAGGGAGUAAAUCAACCAGCAUAGGAUCUACUUUUGAUUGGACUGAUGGGCAGAAUUUAGCCGCCAAUAGCUAAUCAUCAACCCAGAAUGCUCUUUGGUACAACGGCAUUAACACUCUUGAAAGUGUUAAAGAAUGCAUGAGUAUGAAGGUUUUCAUCAGACCAAGGUAUGGAAGCAUGAAAGAGGACUGGUGUUGAUGCUGGAUAUAAGCGAGUCACUAUUGUUCAUUACAACUCACCAGAUCUAUACCUAUAAUCUCUCAGCUACAUAUUUCUGGAACAUUGUCGAACUAUUUUCAAGUUUGAAUAGACUAUUCCUGACACUACAAGUCGGUAUGAUCUGGUUUGGAAGCUGGAUGCAUGAUCUGCGGGCUUCUGUUGCUCUUCGUGCGGCUGGACUUCAUCCAAGCUACUUCUCUAGCGGCCAGCUCUAGAUUACUUUUUGGAAAAAUGUGGUGUUUCCCCCGAAUGUUGUUCACGUAUCAUCCAAUUGUUUUCUGCACUUUAUUGCCUACGGUAGCGUCUUCACGGGUCUUGCCUAAAUUUCCAUGACAUGUACAUACAUAUCAAAAUAUGUCAGUAACUUCUAUACUCGGUAAAAUACAACCAAUGCCAAAGGGAUGAGUCGAAGACCCAGUAGUUAUUUGAGAAAACUAAGGUACUAGAUGCCCCUUUUCCUUC